GGGGGCCAUUUCAGCUGCUAGAGAUGACGAGCGGCGGACGGGUGAGUAAUACUUAGGAAUCUACCUAGUAGUGGGGGAUAGCUCGGGGAAACUCGAAUUAAUACCGCAUACGACCUACGGGAGAAAGGGGGCAACUUGUUGCUCUCGCUAUUAGAUGAGCCUAAGUCGGAUUAGCUAGAUGGUGGGGUAAAGGCCUACCAUGGCGACGAUCUGUAGCUGGUCUGAGAGGAUGAUCAGCCACACCGGGACUGAGACACGGCCCGGACUCCUACGGGAGGCAGCAGUGGGGAAUAUUGGACAAUGGGGGAAACCCUGAUCCAGCCAUGCCGCGUGUGUGAAGAAGGCCUUUUGGUUGUAAAGCACUUUAAGCAGUGAAGAAGACUCUUCGGUUAAUACCCGGAGACGAUGACAUUAGCUGCAGAAUAAGCACCGGCUAACUCUGUGCCAGCAGCCGCGGUAAUACAGAGGGUGCAAGCGUUAAUCGGAAUUACUGGGCGUAAAGCGAGCGUAGGUGGCUUGAUAAGUCAGAUGUGAAAUCCCCGGGCUUAACCUGGGAACUGCAUCUGAUACUGUCAGGCUAGAGUAGGUGAGAGGAAGGUAGAAUUCCAGGUGUAGCGGUGAAAUGCGUAGAGAUCUGGAGGAAUACCGAUGGCGAAGGCAGCCUUCUGGCAUCAUACUGACACUGAGGCUCGAAAGCGUGGGUAGCAAACAGGAUUAGAUACCCUGGUAGUCCACGCCGUAAACGAUGUCUACUAGUCGUUGGGUCCCUUGAGGACUUAGUGACGCAGCUAACGCAAUAAGUAGACCGCCUGGGGAGUACGGCCGCAAGGUUAAAACUCAAAUGAAUUGACGGGGGCCCGCACAAGCGGUGGAGCAUGUGGUUUAAUUCGAUGCAACGCGAAGAACCUUACCUGGUCUUGACAUAUCUAGAAUCCUGCAGAGAUGCGGGAGUGCCUUCGGGAAUUAGAAUACAGGUGCUGCAUGGCUGUCGUCAGCUCGUGUCGUGAGAUGUUGGGUUAAGUCCCGCAACGAGCGCAACCCUUGUCCUUAGUUACCAGCGGGUUAAGCCGGGAACUCUAAGGAUACUGCCAGUGACAAACUGGGAGGAAGGCGGGGAACAACGUCAAGUCAUCAUGGGCCUUAACGACCAGGGCUACACACCUGGCUACAAUUGGUAGGUACAGAAGGGCACCUUACCAGGCGAUUGUGAUGCCGAAUCUCAAAAAAGCCUA
rnacentral:rRNA from 1 species